UACGAAGGGGGCUAGCGUUGCUCGGAAUUACUGGGCGUAAAGGGCGCGUAGGCGGACAUUUAAGUCAGGUGUGAAAGCCCAGGGCUCAACCUUGGAAUUGCAUUUGAGACUGAAUAGCUAGGGUGCGGAAGAGGGAAGCGGAAUUUCCGGUGUAGCGGUGAAAUGCGUAGAUAUCGGAAGGAACACCAGUGGCGAAAGCGGCUUCCUGGUCCAGCACCGACGUUCAGGCACGAAAGCGUGGGGAGCAAACAGG
rnacentral:rRNA from 1 species